rnacentral:tRNA from 1 species
GAGGUUUUAGUUUAGUAAAACGUUGGACUGUCAGACCAAAGUCGCAGGUUAGACCCCUGUAGAUCUCG